rnacentral:rRNA from 1 species
CGCGUAGGCGGCCAUAUAAGUCAGAAGUGAAGGCUACGGCUUAACCGUAGUAAGCUUUUGAAACUGUAUGGCUUGAGUGCAGGAGAGGAAAGCGGAAUUCCUAGUGUAGCGGUGAAAUGCGUAGAUAUUAGGAAGAACACCAGUAGCGAAGGCGGCUUUCUGGACUGAAACUGACGCUGAGGUACGAAAGCGUGGGGAGCGAACAGGAUUAGAUACCCUGGUAGUCC